rnacentral:rRNA from 1 species
UCCCCGGGCUCAACCUGGGAACUGCAUUCGAAACUGGCAGGCUUGAGUCUUGUAGAGGGGGGUAGAAUUCCAGGUGUAGCGGUGAAAUGCGUAGAGAUCUGGAGGAAUACCGGUGGCGAAGGCGGCCCCCUGGACAAAGACUGACGCUCAGGUGCGAAAGCGUGGGGAGCAAACAGGAUUAGAUACCCUGGUAGUCCACGCCGUAAACGAUGUCUACUUGGAGGUUGUGCCCUUGAGGCGUGGCUUCCGGAGCUAACGCGUUAAGUAGACCGCCUGGGGAGUACGGCCGCAAGGUUAAAACUCAAAUGAAUUGACGGGGGCCCGCACAAGCGGUGGAGCAUGUGGUUUAAUUCGAUGCAACGCGAAGAACCUUACCUGGUCUUGACAUCCACAGAAGAAUCCAGAGAUGGAUUUGUGCCU